rnacentral:rRNA from 1 species
AUACGGAGGGGGUUAGCGUUGUUCGGAAUUACUGGGCGUAAAGCGCACGUAGGCGGAUUGGAAAGUUGGGGGUGAAAUCCCAGGGCUCAACCCUGGAACUGCCUCCAAAACUAACAGUCUAGAGUUCGAGAGAGGUGAGUGGAAUUCCAAGUGUAGAGGCGAAAUUCGUAGAUAUUUGGAGGAACACCAGUGGCGAAGGCGGCUCACUGGCUCGAUACUGACGCUGAGGUGCGAAAGCGUGGGGAGCAAACAGGAUUAGAAACCCUAGUAGUCC